GCCACCCCGCUGUGUGUGAAUGGGUUGUGCUGGGGAUUCGUAGCUCUGAUGCGGGGGAUUUGCUGAUUCCUUUGAGCCCCCUGAGGAGAGGUGAUAUGGAGAGCAAAUAAUCAGCAUGCAGCUUGGAGGCGAGACAGGACAAAGAGGCUUAGGAAUUCCGAACCAGCACGGGGUCCCAGACUGGAAGUGGUAACUGGAUGGCGUCAGGAGCCAAAGGGGGCAGCCAGCGUUGCACACUGAGUUGUCACCAAAUCUUGACAGAAGGACAACAAUGUGAAGGAAGAGCUUUUGGCCAGGGAAACUUGUCUCCUUGUUGUGGUUAAAUCUUGCAAAGGGUUUCUGGGCCACGUGCGUCCAGGUGAGUCACCUGUCUCAGAGGAAUGCUGCUGAUGCUGACAGAAAGCUCCACGAAUGUGGAUCCUUGUCUCACUAGUCUUAUUUUCCUUUUGGUUGUACUGGUGGGCAAAAGCACUUUUUGAACAUAAUAAAUUGCUUGAAUAAGCAGGGUUUCCCAUUUGUUUCUCAGCUUAGGCGGGGAGGCAGGUCUGGUCACAUAAAUAGGUUUCUUAGAACAACAGUUCUCACACUUUACAUGUUCCUGAUAUUUUUACUGGUAAGACCUGAAAGGAUUAAAAGAUUCAUCCAACAACAGUAAACAAGUCAACAGUCAUUACCAAUCAGUUUGAACUACAGAGAAUAGUGUUGUCUCACAUUUUAAUUUUAUUUUUUUUCAAUAUUCCCUUGAUCUCCCAGCACUGCUGUUGCUGUUUGAUAGAAAAUUUGAUUAUCCUAACUA